UGGUGCAAAAGUGAUUGCGGUUUUUGCCAUUAAAAGUAAUGGUUAAAAACCGCAAUCACUUUCGCACC
ensembl:miRNA